AUGGCUCAUGCUGUUGUUCCGUUCAAUUUUAAUGCGUUCCUUGAGAAAGCAAAGUUGAAAGAUGAUGGUAGCAAUUACAUGGACUGGGUCCGUAACCUGAGGAUUAUCUUCAUUGCUGCACAGAAAAGUUACGUCCUGGAAGCACCGCUGGGUGCCAGGCCUGCUGCUGAUGCAACUGACGACGUUAAGAACGUCUGGCAGAGCAAAGCUGAUGACUACUCUAUAGUUCAGUGUGCCAUGCUUUACGGCUUAGAACCGGGUCUUCAACGAUGUUUUGAACGUCAUGGAGCAUAUGAGAUGUUCCAGGAGUUGAAGUUAAUAUUUCAAGCAAAUGCCCGGAUUGAGAGAUAUGAAGUCUCCAAUAAGUUCUAUAGCCGCAAGAUGGAGGAGAAUAGUUCUGUCAGUGAACACAUACUCAGAAUGUCUGGGUAUAAUAAUCACUUGAUUCAACUGGGAGUUAAUCUUCCUGAUGAUAGUGUCAUUGACAGAAUUCUCCAAUCACUGCCACCAAGCUACAAGAGCUUUGCGAUGAACUAUAAUAUGCAAGGGAUGAAAAAGACUAUUCCCGAGCUCUUCGCAAUGCUAAAAGCCGCAGAGGUAGAAAUCAAGAAGGAGCAUCAAGUGUUGAUGGUCAACAAGACCACUAGUUUCACGAAAAAGGGCAAAUGGAAGAAGAAGGGGAACUUCAAAAAGAACGGCAAGCAAGUUGCUGCUCAAGAGAAGAAACCCAAGUCUGGACCUAAGCCUGAAACUGGGUGCUUCUACUGCAAGCAGACUGGUCACUGGAAGCGGAACUGCCCCAAGUAUUUGGCGGAUAAGAAGGAUGGCAAAGUGAACAAAGGGACUACGGAAUAA
rnacentral:rRNA from 1 species